CUGGGUAGCUAUGUUCGGAACGGAUAACCGCUGAAAGCAUCUAAGCGGGAAGCCAACCCCAAGAUUAGAUUUCCCCUGACCCUUGAGGUCACUGAAGACUCCUCGAAGAUUACGAGGUUGAUAGGCUGGAGGUGUAAGCACAGCAAUGUGUUCAGCCAACCAGUACUAAUCAGUCGUGAGGCUUGACCAUAU
rnacentral:rRNA from 1 species